rnacentral:rRNA from 1 species
GACGAACGCUGGCGGCGUGCCUAAUACACGCAAGUAGAACGCUGAAGGAGGAGCUUGCUUCUCUGGAUGAGUUGCGAACGGGUGAGUAACGCGUAGGUGACCUGCCUGGUAGCGGGGGAUAACUAUUGGAAACGAUAGCUAAUACCGCAUAAGAGUAGAUGUUGCAUGACAUUUGCUUAAAAGGUGCAAUUGCAUCACUACCAGAUGGACCUGCGUUGUAUUAGCUAGUUGGUGGGGUAACGGCUCACCAAGGCGACGAUACAUAGCCGACCUGAGAGGGUGAUCGGCCACACUGGGACUGAGACACGGCCCAGACUCCUACGGGAGGCAGCAGUAGGGAAUCUUCGGCAAUGGACGGAAGUCUGACCGAGCAACGCCGCGUGAGUGAAGAAGGUUUUCGGAUCGUAAAGCUCUGUUGUAAGAGAAGAACGAGUGUGAGAGUGGAAAGUUCACACUGUGACGGUAU